CUGAUCUCCCAAAAUGAGUCACGCCGUGUGGGUACGGGGGAUGCGCGGGGGGGAUGGUGGGAUGUCGCUCCCCUUCCUUUCUCUCCGCUCCCCUCCGCGGCCCGGUGCGGCCUCGGCCCCGGCGGAGCAGGAAUCGCUGACGCCGGCUGCCAUCUAGUGGGCAUCGAGCCGUCGGGCCGAGGGAGCCCUGGGGGGGCCACCGAGGUUGUCUGCGGCCUUUCACCCCCCUUCCCUCUUAAAAAAAAAAAAAAUUCUCUCGCUUUUUAAAUUUUUAAUAUAAAACUGCGCUGGAGAGAAUAACCCCUUCUUUCUGGUUUCUACCUCUCUCACUAGCCUGCCUUCCUGGCAGCUUCCCUUUGCCAGAGGUCUGAAAUCAGGUUGAAAGACUGCAUGUGAAAAAGAAGAAACAGACUGUAGAAACUGAACCCCCUAACAAAAAAAGACCUUAAAAAACAACACCCGCAGCCUGCCCUACUGGACACCCUACCCUGCUCCUAGCUCCCAUUAAAGUUUAUAAUCAGAUUAGAAGCUGCAUGAAAAACCUGCCGGAAGGGAGAAAAGGGAUGAAAUAGAUGACAGAAGUUUUAUUCUCUGAAAUCUGAGACUGGGAGCCGCCUGGAGAGAAGAAUCCUUCAUCAUUUCUGAGAUCAGAAUAAACGCUUGAUUUUGCCCCGAAAUAA